GACGAGGGGUCCUAGCGUUGUCCGGAAUCAUUGGGCGUAAAGCGCGUGUAGGCGGCCCGAUAAGUCCGCUGUGAAAGUCCAGGGCUCAACCCUGGGAUGCCGGUGGAUACUGUCGGGCUCGAGUCCGGAAGAGGAGUGUGGAAUUCCUGGUGUAGCGGUGAAAUGCGCAGAUAUCAGGAGGAACACCAAUGGCGAAGGCAGCACUCUGGGACGUGACUGACGCUGAGACGCGAAAGCGUGGGGAGCAAACAGG
rnacentral:rRNA from 1 species